GGCUUUGUAGUGGAAAAAAGACACUAGACUGCAAUUCUGGGGAUGUAAUAUUUAUUACCUUAGCCU
rnacentral:tRNA from 1 species